rnacentral:rRNA from 1 species
AACGAACGCUGGCGGCAGGCUUAACACAUGCAAGUCGAACGCCCCUUCGGGGGAGUGGCAGACGGGUGAGUAACGCGUGGGAAUCUACCCAGUUCUACGGAACAACAGUUGGAAACGACUGCUAAUACCGUAUACGCCCUACGGGGGAAAGAUUUAUCGGAAUUGGAUGAGCCCGCGUAAGAUUAGCUAGUUGGUGGGGUAAUGGCCUACCAAGGCGACGAUCUUUAGCUGGUCUGAGAGGAUGAUCAGCCACACUGGGACUGAGACACGGCCCAGACUCCUACGGGAGGCAGCAGUGGGGAAUAUUGGACAAUGGGCGCAAGCCUGAUCCAGCCAUGCCGCGUGAGUGAUGAAGGCCUUAGGGUUGUAAAGCUCUUUCAGUAGGGAAGAUAAUGACGGUACCUACAGAAGAAGCCCCGGCUAACUUCG